CCUAUGGGAGGGGUCCAAGAGACCCUGACCCUAUAAAAAGGCAACCAUUCUUCAGUUGUGUGGUGUAUCCGUCUGUCCUGGAUUCCAGCAGACUUGCUGACCACAAGGAUCACAAGGACUUGACCACAACUGAAAACUGAAAGGACUACAACUGAAAGAACUUCAACUCACUGACAGAGGAGAUGUUGCUGGAUCCAAGAAAGCCUGUCUGAUAGAGCCAAUGCCAGCCAGCUCCAAGAUGGACUCACCCCUGGCCAAGGCCAUCAGAGAUGGUGGUAGCACCUCUGGGAUACCAUUUUAAGAGGGAAAAAAAAGGAAACCUCUGUGCAAUUGCAGCUGGAGAGAGGAGUCAGGAUAUGUGAGCAGAAUAAGUCUGCAGACACCCAAGUCAGUGAAGAAGGAGGGAAGAAGGUUCUCCAGGUGCCAGAGCAGAGAUUCCCCUGCAACGCAUGGUUGGUGAAGACCACUGUGAGGUAGGCUGUUCCCAUGCAAUCCAUGGAGAUCCACAGUGCAGCAGAUCUCCACCUGUAGCCCUUGAAGGACCACACACAGGAGAGUAAGAUGCCUGAAGGAGGCUGUGACCCUGUGGGAAGCCUGUGAUGGAGCAGGCUUCUGGCAGGACCUGUGUCCUCAUGGAGAGAGGAGCCCAUGCUGGAGCAGGUUUGCUGGAGGAAUUGUGACCCCACUGGGGGUGAGGAGGUAGAAAAGAUCAGGAGUAAAGUUAAGCCUAGGAAGAAAGGAGGGUUAGGGGAUAGGUGGUUUUGAGAUUUGGUUUUAUUUCUUGCUAUCCUACUCUGAUUUGACUGGUAACAAAUUAAACUAAUUUUUCCCCAA